ACGGAUCCUUCGGGAUUAGUGGCGGACGGGUGAGUAACACGUGGGAACGUGCCUUUUGGUUCGGAAUAGCUCCUGGAAACGGGUGGUAAUGCCGAAUGUGCCCUUCGGGGGAAAGAUUUAUCGCCAUUAGAGCGGCCCGCGUCUGAUUAGCUAGUUGGUGAGGUAAAGGCUCACCAAGGCGACGAUCAGUAGCUGGUCUGAGAGGAUGACCAGCCACAUUGGGACUGAGACACGGCCCAAACUCCUACGGGAGGCAGCAGUGGGGAAUCUUGCGCAAUGGGCGAAAGCCUGACGCAGCCAUGCCGCGUGAAUGAUGAAGGUCUUAGGAUUGUAAAAUUCUUUCACCGGGGACGAUAAUGACGGUACCCGGAGAAGAAGCCCCGGCUAACUUCGUGCCAGCAGCCGCGGUAAUACGAAGGGGGCUAGCGUUGCUCGGAAUUACUGGGCGUAAAGGGAGCGUAGGCGGACAUUUAAGUCAGGGGUGAAAUCCCAGAGCUCAACUCUGGAACUGCCUUUGAUACUGGGUGUCUUGAGUGUGAUAGAGGUAUGUGGAACUCCGAGUGUAGAGGUGAAAUUCGUAGAUAUUCGGAAGAACACCAGUGGCGAAGGCGACAUACUGGAUCAUUACUGACGCUGAGGCUCGAAAGCGUGGGGAGCAAACAGGAUUAGAUACCCUGGUAGUCCACGCCGUAAACGAUGAUUGCUAGUUGUUGGGAUGUUUACAUCUCGGUGACGCAGCUAACGCAUUAAGCAAUCCGCCUGGUGAGUACGGUCGCAAGAUUACAACUCAUAGGAAUUGACGG
rnacentral:rRNA from 1 species